CACUAAUAACUACUUCCCCAAUCACUUUGGUGAAGAAAUGAAUCCCGCCCAGCUCGUCAGUCCAGCCGGGUCUCCGUUCUGUCUUGCUCUCCAGACUCCUCUUCUUCGUGAAAGCCAGAUCAAGGGAGAGAGCAAGCCGGCUCCCGGCCUUGGACUCUGAGCCGCGCGCCGCUAGCUCCGCGGCGGGUCAGCCCCGAACCUGUGAAGGGCUCCACGCUCCUGCCAGCCAGCCCACGCCAGGGAUACUGCAGCCCGGGGAGGCAACUGGAGCUAAUCCGGCGGCAGGUUUAAAUGUUUUUUGACUACUUGGC
rnacentral:lncRNA from 1 species